rnacentral:snRNA from 1 species
AUACUUACCUGGCAGGGGAGACUCCUUGAUUAGAAGCGUUUUCCCAUUGCGAGGCUCAUCCCUUGCACUGUGGGUGUGCUGACCCCUGCAAUUUCUCCAAAUGCGGAAAACUCGACCGCAUAAUUUGUGGUGAAAACCUUC